GAUGAACGCUGGCGGCGUGCCUAAUACAUGCAAGUCGAGCGAACGGACGAGAAGCUUGCUUCUCUGAUGUUAGCGGCGGACGGGUGAGUAACACGUGGAUAACCUACCUAUAAGACUGGGAUAACUUCGGGAAACCGGAGCUAAUACCGGAUAAUAUUUUGAACCGCAUGGUUCAAAAGUGAAAGACGGUCUUGCUGUCACUUAUAGAUGGAUCCGCGCUGCAUUAGCUAGUUGGUAAGGUAACGGCUUACCAAGGCAACGAUGCAUAGCCGACCUGAGAGGGUGAUCGGCCACACUGGAACAGAGACACGGUCCAGACUCCUACGGUAGGCAGCAGUAGGGAAUCUUCCGCAAUGGGCGAAAGCCUGACGGAGCAACGCCGCGUGAGUGAUGAAGGUCUUCGGAUCGUAAAACUCUGUUAUUAGGGAAGAACAUAUGUGUAAGUAACUAUGCACAUCUUGACGGUACCUAAUCAGAAAGCCACGGCUAACUACGUG
rnacentral:rRNA from 1 species